rnacentral:rRNA from 2 species
GACGACGUCAAGUCAUCAUGGCCCUUACGAGUAGGGCUACACACGUGCUACAAUGGCAUAUACAGAGGGCAGCGAGGCCGCGAGGUGGAGCGAAUCCCAGAAAGUAUGUCGUAGUCCGGAUUGGAGUCUGCAACUCGACUCCAUGAAGUCGGAAUCGCUAGUAAUCGUGAAUCAGAAUGUCACGGUGAAUACGUUCCCGGGCCUUGUACACACCGCCCGUCACACCAUGGGAGUGGGCUGCACCAGAAGUAGAUAGCUUAACCUUCGGGAGGGCGUUUACCACGGUGUGGUUCAUGACUGGGGUGAAGUCGUAACAAGGUAGCCCUAGGGGAACCUGGGGCUGGAUCACCUCCUUAACGA